GACAGGUAUGGAGAUAUGGUACCUGACACAUGGGCAGGCAAGAUCGUAGGGGGCAUCUGCUCCCUGAGCGGUGUGUUGGUGAUCGCUCUACCUGUUCCCGUGAUUGUGUCCAAC
rfam:Branchiostoma floridae genomic scaffold BRAFLscaffold_186, whole genome shotgun sequence.